UGCCUACGGGACGCAGCAGUGAGGAAUAUUGGUCAAUGGGCGGGAGCCUGAACCAGCCAAGUCGCGUGAGGGAAGACGGUCCUACGGAUUGUAAACCUCUUUUGCCGGGGAGCAACGGGGUCCUUGCGAGGGCCCAAUGAGAGUACCCGGAGAAAAAGCAUCGGCUAACUCCGUGCCAGCAGCCGCGGUAAUACGGAGGAUGCGAGCGUUAUCCGGAUUUAUUGGGUUUAAAGGGUGCGUAGGCGGGCUGUUAAGUCAGGGGUCAAAUGUCGGGGUUCAAACCCGGCCUGGCGUUGAAACUGGGG
rnacentral:rRNA from 1 species